rnacentral:rRNA from 1 species
GGGGUGCUCGAGUGGCGAACGGGUGAGUAACACGUGAGUAACCUGCCCUUGACUUUGGGAUAACUUCAGGAAACUGGGGCUAAUACCGAAUAGGAGCUCCUGCUGCAUGGUGGGGGUUGGAAAGUUUCGGCGGUUGGGGAUGGACUCGCGGCUUAUCAGCUUGUUGGUGGGGUAGUGGCUUACCAAGGCUUUGACGGGUAGCCGGCCUGAGAGGGUGACCGGCCACAUUGGGACUGAGAUACGGCCCAG